AAAAACUUGAUAAUUUUAUUAUCUUUUUACUGAGGAUGUAUAUGCAGGACAUAUUGUUAAUUAGGAAUUCUUCGUUUAUGAUCGUUUC
rnacentral:snoRNA from 1 species